AUUGAACGCUGGCGGCAUGCCUUACACAUGCAAGUCGAACGGCAGCACGGGGGCAACCCUGGUGGCGAGUGGCGAACGGGUGAGUAAUACAUCGGAAUGUACCCAGUAGUGGGGGAUAACUAGUCGAAAGAUUAGCUAAUACCGCAUACGCACUAUGGUGGAAAGCGGGGGAUCGCAAGACCUCGCGCUAUUGGAGCAGCCGAUGUCCGAUUAGGUAGUUGGUGGGGUAAAGGCCUACCAAGCCUGCGAUCGGUAACUGGUCUGAGAGGACGACCAGUCACACUGGGACUGAGACACGGCCCAGACUCCUACGGGAGGCAGCAGUGGGGAAUUUUGGACAAUGGGGGAAACCCUGAUCCAGCAAUGCCGCGUGUGUGACGAAGGCCUCGGUGUAAGCACUUUGUCGGACGAACGGACGCGUUCUAUACAGAGCGCUAAUGACGGUACCCGCCGACGAAUAAGACACCGG
rnacentral:rRNA from 1 species